rnacentral:rRNA from 1 species
UCGAAAUUGAAAGGCGGCUUCGGCUGUCACUUAUGGAUGGACCCGCGUCGCAUUAGCUAGUUGGUGAGGUAACGGCUCACCAAGGCAACGAUGCGUAGCCGACCUGAGAGGGUGAUCGGCCACACUGGGACUGAGACACGGCCCAGACUCCUACGGGAGGCAGCAGUAGGGAAUCUUCCGCAAUGGACGAAAGUCUGACGGAGCAACGCCGCGUGAGUGAUGAAGGCUUUCGGGUCGUAAAACUCUGUUGUUAGGGAAGAACAAGUGCUAGUUGAAUAAGCUGGCACCUUGACGGUACCUAACCAGAAAGCCACGGCUAACUACGUGCCAGCAGCCGCGGUAAUACGUAGGUGGCAAGCGUUAUCCGGAAUUAUUGGGCGUAAAGCGCGCGCAGGUGGUUUCUUAAGUCUGAUGUGAAAGCCCACGGCUCAACCGU